rnacentral:rRNA from 1 species
AUUGAACGCUGGCGGCAGGCCUAACACAUGCAAGUCGAACGGUAACAGGAAGCAGCUUGCUGCUUCGCUGACGAGUGGCGGACGGGUGAGUAAUGUCUGGGAAGCUGCCUGAUGGAGGGGGAUAACUACUGGAAACGGUAGCUAAUACCGCAUAAUGUCGCAAGACCAAAGAGGGGGACCUUCGGGCCUCUUGCCAUCGGAUGUGCCCAGAUGGGAUUAGCUUGUUGGUGGGGUAACGGCUCACCAAGGCGACGAUCCCUAGCUGGUCUGAGAGGAUGACCAGCCACACUGGGACUGAGACACGGUCCAGACUCCUACGGGAGGCAGCAGUGGGGAAUAUUGCACAAUGGGCGCAAGCCUGAUGCAGCCAUGCCGCGUGUAUGAAGAAGGCCUUCGGGUUGUAAAGUACUUUCAGCGGGGAGGAAGGGAGUAAAGUUAAUACCUUUGCUCAUUGACGUUACCCGCAGAAGAAGCACCGGCUAACUCCGCG